rnacentral:rRNA from 1 species
UACGUAGGGUGCAAGCGUUGUCCGGAAUUAUUGGGCGUAAAGAGCUCGUAGGCGGUUUGUUGCGUCGGCUGUGAAAUCCCGAGGCUCAACCUCGGUCUGCCACUGAUACUGCUGGGCUUGAGUCGACUAGAGGCAGAUGGAAUUCCGGGUGUAGCGGUGGAAUGCGUAGAGAUCCGGAAGAACACCGGUGGCGAAGGCGGUCUGCUGGGGUCGAACUGACGCUGAGGCGCGACAGCGUGGGGAGCAAACAGG